rnacentral:lncRNA from 1 species
AGGAGUGAGAGGUCUUCUGGGGUUUUCUUCGACGUGCGGCACAGCAGCGCUGCAUUGCGAUGCUCAGAAGCGCCCACCCUCCCUAAUUCACAUGCUCAUCAUGGAGGAAUAACAGGUACCUGCUUUACAGAGAGAGGAGGACAGGCUUAUUCCCAUUCCCAGCGACAUCUUGAAACAAUAGAGGAGAGCGCAGAAGGACACCUAUUGCAAGAUGAAAUAGUCUCGACGGUGGUCAGACCAUUCGCGAAUGUGUGUUAUACUGCUGUAGCUAAGCAGACAAUCGCGAUGAAGCAUUUUCUGAGGGUACUGACCCAGUUACUGGUGUUCCUGUACUGUAAGUGUUUGUGGCGGAAG